UACGUAGGGUGCGAGCGUUAAUCGGAAUUACUGGGCGUAAAGCGUGCGCAGGCGGUUUUGUAAGACAGGCGUGAAAUCCCCGGGCUUAACCUGGGAACUGCGCUUGUGACUGCAAGGCUAGAGUACGGCAGAGGGGGGUGGAAUUCCACGUGUAGCAGUGAAAUGCGUAGAGAUGUGGAGGAACACCAAUGGCGAAGGCAGCCCCCUGGGUCGAUACUGACGCUCAUGCACGAAAGCGUGGGUAGCAAACAGGAUUAGAUACCCUGGUAGUCCACGCCCUAAACUAUGUCAACUAGGUGUUGGGUGGGUAAAACCAUUUAGUACCGUAGCUAACGCGUGAAGUUGACCGCCUGGGGAGUACGGCCGCAAGGUUA
rnacentral:rRNA from 1 species